UACGUAGGGGCAAGCGUUGUCCGGAUUUAUUGGGCGUAAAGAGCGUGUAGGCGGCCAGGUAGGUCGGUUGUGAAAACUGGAGGCUCAACCUUCAGAGGUCGACCGAAACCAUCUGGCUAGAGUCCGGGAGAGGAGAGUGGAAUUCCUGGUGUAGCGGUGAAAUGCGCAGAUAUCAGGAAGAACACCCUAUGGCGAAGGCAGGUCUCUGGGCAUUAACUGACGCUGAGGAGCGAAAGCAUGGGGAGCGAACAGG
rnacentral:rRNA from 1 species